UACGUAGGGGGCAAGCGUUGUCCGGAUUUAUUGGGCGUAAAGAGCGUGUAGGCGGCCAGGUAGGUCCGUUGUGAAAACUCGAGGCUCAACCUCGAGACGUCGGCGGAAACCCUCUGGCUAGAGUCCGGAAGAGGAAAGUGGAAUUCCAGGUGUAGCGGUGAAAUGCGUAGAUAUCUGGAGGAACACCGGUGGCGAAGGCGGCAUCCUGGACCGGCAUUGACGCUGAGGCGCGAAAGCCAGGGGAGCAAACGGG
rnacentral:rRNA from 1 species